rnacentral:lncRNA from 1 species
CAGGCUGCAGCAGCAGCAGCUCCUGGAGUACCUUCUUGUCCUGGAAAUGGCGGAGAUGAAGGAGAGCAAACCCAAUGGCAGAGUCAGGUCCACUACCAGCCCAUGGCCAGAGCACAUCAUGUGACUAAGUCAAAGUUGAGGGGCAGAGUACCCCAUAGCCACGGUGAGGCUGCAGCAGGGCAUGGGUGUCACACUCCUACACUGCAGGGACGUGAAAAUGGGGACGGCAGUUCAUCCUACCAAACGAAUACUGACAUUAAACUUACCAUGUGAAUGCAGAGAAGCACCACAUUAUGAUUACCUUUACAUAAAGCAGCGGAUAUCACUCACCAUCAGACCCAAUUGGUCAUGCACCUGGCAACAAGCUCAGGGCCUCUUAGCAAUCCAGGGGGUGGCUGGGCUCCGGCCUCCUUGGCACUGUGUGUGCCCUGCCUAGAAUGAGCAGACGACAUCAGCUGCCCCAGAACAUGAUUCAGGGCCAACACGAGUGCCCUCUGCAUCCACUGCACAGCCGCAGAGGGAGAAUCAGGCACUGGCUUGUGGCCGACAGGCCUCCUGUAAGGCUUGCCCAUUCAGACACGCAGAUGAUGGGUGAGGCAGGCUGAGUUGUGGACGCACAUGACUCUCUCAGCUCUUUGAACCUUGUGAUGGCUGGCAAACAGGGACCAGGUGUGCAUUUGAGAAUGAAUGCCAGCUGAGCAGAAGAGCCACCAGCCAGUGCCCAGAGCUUGGAGCCCACGCAGCUACGUCUUUCUCUUUCCCUUGCUCUAUCUUCUCAGGUGGAUGGACAGUAUAGCUGCCUCCCAGUACCAGCCUUUUCUGCUAAAAAUCAGUCCCGGGAACUGUGCUAGAAUUUCCCAUGCAGGUCAAGGUCUGAGCAGCUUGAGAAAUCGACACAGUGUAUACCCAAACUUGCUGUUAUUUGUUAAGAAACACUUUUAGUGUUCUCUCCUGGGACCCUGUUCCUUUCCGCUCCUUAGCGGCCAGGCCGGGCAGCACUCCAGGUCUGCAUGGUCAAAGCCUCCGCUGUCGGGCCAGGGUAAUCCUCUACCUGUUACUGUCACCCAAGACUUAUAGCCUCCACCUCCCUUUCUCUUCUUUCUUCCUUGUUUCUGGCCCCUCCACCCUCAGAGACGCCAGACUCUCUUUUGAUUCUCUUUCAUUCCUGCUCCAAGCCUGAGGUGUUUGAUAAGAACUGAUCCAUUGACUGGAGGGUGUGAGUGGCUUGAGGAGUUCUUCGUCUGAGGAAGAUUUACCUUUUCUAAGAGACCUGGGGAGGAGGGCACUGCUUACCUCUGAGGAACAAAGCACUAACGGUGGCGUUUCAGCCUCCAAAGAUGAGCCAAGGGAAAUUAUUUUUAGAUUUCAGAGCUGCCAUAUCUGAAAUCAAACCACAGAGACAGCUUGCUGCUGGUUCACUUGCAGAGUGAGGCUUGAAGACCUGGGAGUUAAGCCUAAGGCUAUUCCUGCUCUGAAACGGAGCCCAUGACUGUGCCAGGGACCCUGAACUACAGAGGCUGCCCACGGAGGAGGACUCAGAGGGCCAGGGUCCUGUGGAUCAUGAUUGCUUCCUGUCUCUUCCCACACCGUCUCCUCCACUGACGCCCUCGUAAGCAAGAGCAGCCUCACUUUUGCCUUCCUCCAGGCCUAGCUCCUUCCACUCUCUAGCAGCAGUGAGGAGAGGGAGUGACAGAGGCUGCUAUGGAGGAGGAUGCAUGGGAAGGCCAUGGCAGGGAAAAGAAAGGAGAUAAUGAUGGUGACAUUCUGUAAAUAUCAUCCUUUCCAUACCCUCACUCAGCACCCCAGAUGUUGAACCAAGUGGAUAAGGAUGUGACAAGAACCAAAGUAGAAACCCAAAAGGGGGUUCUACUAAGCAGGUUUUAAAGAAGAAUCUGGUCCUCUGGUGUAAUAUGGAUCACACUGAGAAGCAGGUAAUACGCUUCGCUCAGUAACGGGCACACCUCUGUUGGCGAUUUAUUUGCUUUGACUAAAGAUAGUGGAAUUUACCCUCGAUGAAAGCAGGGGAGGCCACGCUGAAGCUCAGCACCUCAGUCAGCUAACACCUCCCGAACACCCAGCACGUGCUCGGCACGGCCAAGAUGAGGAAGAUACGCUUUAUCCCUGCAAAGCUGACUUUCUGUGUCUGUACGCUGGGCCCCCAACCAUCCUGCUUGUUAGAGAAACAGCAGGUCAUUUUUCUCACCCGGCAUCCCACAGGGGCUGGAGCUCCUCGAGGAGCAGAGCAAGGGGCAAGCUGUGGUCUCCUGUGGGCUCUUAGGAGCAUGGAGGGCAGACUUCCUCAGGACAGUUUUGAUUGCUUGGUUUUUGCAGGAUUUUUUUUCCCCUCCACCAGCC